UCUCACCCGACCAUGCUGGCAGCCUCCAGAAUUCAUCCAACUCAGCUCCUUGUCUGAAGACCACGCUCGGGAAAGCCAGGUGAAGACCCAAGAGGGCCAGAAGAGAUCUGAAGAUAUUUUACAACAGAAUGUGAAAUACAGUAUUUAUUGAUGAGAAAAUAAAGCCAAUGGUAGUUCAGACUUGUUUAAAGUGACAUCGGGACUUCCCUGGUGGUACAGUGGUGAAGAAUCUGCCUGCCAAUGCAGGGGACACAAGUUCAAUCCCCGGUCCAGGAAGACCCCAUGUGCCGCGGA